AUGCUUGGCAGCACAUAUACCAAAAUUGGAACAAUGUAGAGAAAAUUAGCAUGACCCCUGUGGAAAGAUGUCGUGCAAAUCUGUGAAGCAGUCUAUAUAUUU